UACGGAGGGUGCAAGCGUUAUCCGGAUUUACUGGGUUUAAAGGGUGUGUAGGCGGGCCUUUAAGUCAGUGGUGAAAUCUCCAGGCUCAACCUGGAAACUGCCAUUGAUACUAUUGGUCUUGAAUUCUGUUGAGGUGGCGGAAUAAGUCAUGUAGCGGUGAAAUGCAUAGAUAUGACUUAGAACACCAAUUGCGAAGGCAGCUCGCUAAACAGACAUUGACGCUGAGGCACGAAAGCGUGGGGAUCAAACAGG
rnacentral:rRNA from 1 species